AGGAAAAACAAAAUAUGUCAUACGUCCGUAAGUCUUCCUGUUCAAGAUUCUAAUAUGAAUUUCCUUUUGCAACAUGUGUUUGAUUUGUUUUGUUUGUUUUUAUUUGUGUUGACUUUCUUUAGAUUGAAUAUGCCUUUUUACUCAAAAUGUCCGUUACAUGUCAUUAGCAGAAAUUUGGUUGUAUAUAAGGUAUAUUAAAUCUUAGUAUGACUUCAUAUGUUAUUGGAUAGAACUGGAUGUCCUUAAUACCUAGGAAUAACGUUAAUGCAGAAUAGGAAGUUUAGAA
rnacentral:misc_RNA from 1 species